UACGAAGGGGGCUAGCGUUGUUCGGAAUUAUUGGGCGUAAAGGGCGCGUAGGCGGUUUGGCAAGUCUAGUGUGAAAUCUUCGGGCUCAACUCGAAGUCUGCACUGGAAACUGCCGGGCUUGAGUAUGGGAGAGGUGAGUGGAAUUUCCGGUGUAGCGGUGAAAUGCGUAGAUAUCGGAAGGAACACCUGUGGCGAAAGCGGCUCACUGGACCAUAACUGACGCUGAGGCGCGAAAGCUAGGGGAGCAAACAGG
rnacentral:rRNA from 1 species